rnacentral:rRNA from 1 species
AGGUUGGCUCAGAAGCAGCCAUCCUUUAAAGAGUGCGUAACAGCUCACUAGUCGAAUGACUCUGCGCCGAUAAUUUACCGGGGCUAAGCAUACUACCGAAGCUAUGGAUCCCAAGGGAUGGUAGGGGAGCGUUCCAUGAACGGAGAAGUACGACCGAAAGGACGUGUGGAGAUCAUGGAAGAGAGAAUGCCGGUGUGAGUAGCGGAACGUGGGUGAGAAUCCCACGCACCGAAAACCCAAGGUUUCCAGAGGAAGGUUCGUCCGCUCUGGGUAAGUCGGGACCUAAGGCGAGGCCGAAAGGCGUAGUCGAUGGACAACAGGUAGAGAUUCCUGUACCCGUAUAUAUGUGAAGGAAUGACGGAGAGAGGAAGCUGCAGCCAGCGGCUGGAAGAGCUGGUGCAAGCGAGAUAUCGGGAUGGCAGGCAAAUCCACCAUCCGAAACGAGAAGGCGUGAAGCGUACGGAAAGCUACGGCGAGUACGGAAGGCAGUGGAGGAACUUCCAAGAAAAGUUUCUAACGUAAAGUAUAUAUGGCCCGUACCGAAAAUGGACACACAUGGGUGAGGAGAGAAUCCUAAGGUGAGCGAGAGAACUAUAGCUAAGGAACUCUGCAAAAUGACUCCGUAACUUAGGGAGAAGGAGUGCUCAUAGAGAUAUGAGCCGCAGUGAAACGGCCCAAGCGACUGUUUACCAAAAACACAGCUCUCUGCUAAGUCGAAAGACGACGUAUAUGGGGUGACGCCUGCCCGGUGCUGGAAGGUUAAGGGGAUGUGUCAGCGCAAGCGAAGCAUUGAAUUGAAGCCCCAGUAAACGGCGGCCGUAACUAUAACGGUCCUAAGGUAGCGAAAUUCCUUGUCAGGUAAGUUCUGACCCGCACGAAAGGCGUAACGAUUUGGGCGCUGUCUCAGCUGUAGACUCGGUGAAGUCUUAGUACCUGUGAAGAUGCAGGUUACCCGCGACUAGACGGAAAGACCCCAUGGAGCUUCACUGCAGGUUGAUAUUGGGAUUUGAUGCAGCAUGUACAGGAUAGGUAGGAGGCAAAGAGAUGGAUACGCCAGUAUUCAAGGAGCCGCUGUUGGGAUACUACCCCUGUUGUAUUGGAUUUCUAACCGGACGACGUAGAGCCGUUGACGGGACAGUGUCAGUCGGGCAGUUUGACUGGGGCGGUCGCCUCCCAAAGAGUAACGGAGGCGCCCAAAGAUACCCUCAGCUUGGAUGGAAACCAAGCGCAGAGUGCAAAGGCAAAAGGGUGUUUGACUGCGAGACCCACAAGUCGAGCAGGGACGAAAGUCGGGCUUAGUGAUCCGGCGGUGCUGAAUGGAAAGGCCGUCGCUCAACGGAUAAAAGCUACCCUGGGGAUAACAGGCUGAUCUCCCCCAAGAGUCCACAUCGACGGGGAGGUUUGGCACCUCGAUGUCGGCUCAUCGCAUCCUGGAGCUGUAGUCGGUUCCAAGGGUUGGGCUGUUCGCCCAUUAAAGCGGUACGCGAGCUGGGUUCAGAACGUCGUGAGACAGUUCGGUCCCUAUCUGUCGUGGGCGCAGGAAAUUUGAGAAGAGCUGUCCUCAGUACGAGAGGACCGGGAUGGACGCAUCAAUGGUGGACCAGUUGUCACGCCAGUGGCAUAGCUGGGUAGCUAAAUGCGGAAGGGAUAAACGCUGAAGGCAUCUAAGUGUGAAACCCACUUCAAGAUGAGAUUUCCCAUUGCGCAAGCAAGUAAGACCCCUUAAAGACGAUAAGGUAGAUAGGUCAGGAGUGUAAGCAUGGUGACAUGUUAAGCGGACUGAUACUAAUAGGUCGAGGGCUUGACCGA